rnacentral:rRNA from 1 species
AUUGAACGCUGGCGGCAUGCUUUACACAUGCAAGUCGAACGGUAACAGGCCUUCGGGUGCUGACGAGUGGCGAACGGGUGAGUAAUGCAUCGGAACGUGCCCAAUCGUGGGGGAUAACGUAGCGAAAGUUACGCUAAUACCGCAUAAGCCCUGAGGGGGAGAGCAGGGGAUCGCAAGACCUUGCGCGAAUGGAGCGGCCGAUGUCAGAUUAGCUAGUUGGUGGGGUAAAGGCCUACCAAGGCGACGAUCUGUAGCGGGUCUGAGAGGAUGAUCCGCCACACUGGGACUGAGACACGGCCCAGACUCCUACGGGAGGCAGCAGUGGGGAAUUUUGGACAAUGGGCGCAAGCCUGAUCCAGCCAUGCCGCGUGCGGGACGAAGGCCUCGGUUGUAACCGCUUCAGCCGGAAGAAUACGCCAAGGCUAAUAUCCUUGGUGGAUGACGGUACCGGAAGAAGAAGCACCGGCUAACUACGUGCCAGCAGCCGCGGUAAAGU